AGCCGCCGCGGUAAUACGGAGGGUGCGAGCGUUGUCCGGAAUCAUUGGGCGUAAAGGGCGCGUAGGUGGCCUGCUAAGCGUGCGGUGAAAGCUCGGGGCUCAACCCCGAGUCGGCCGUGCGAACUGGUGGGCUUGAGCACUGUAGAGGCAGGCGGAAUUCCGGGUGUAGCGGUGGAAUGCGUAGAGAUCCGGAAGAACACCGGUGGCGAAGGCGGCCUGCUGGGCAGUAGCUGACACUGAGGCGCGACAGCGUGGGGAGCAAACAGG
rnacentral:rRNA from 1 species